GCAGGAAGAGGAAGUGAUGGGCAGAGGCCUGCUGCAGUGAUCCUAAACUGCAAAUCCCAGAGACCUUGGGAUCGUCAUGAAGAGGAAGCUACCCAUGCUGGCUAUGUGCCAGAGAGCUAUGCUCUAGUGCCCUCAGCUUCUGGCCUAAAUCACUGCAGCAAAAAGUGCCACGGACAACUGUAUUCAUUACUGCACACUCCUGAGUGCUGGACACUUCCUGAGUACUGUUCAAUUUAUGAAACCCUGGUUAUGUAGCAACAAUACUAUAAAAAGCUAAAUACUGUAUCCUGAAGUUUGAAACGAAAAAAAAAAUCAAUUACUCCAACUACCAUGAUUAGGAAUGGAUUUGUAGCAACAUUCUCUUUCAUGUGCUGAAUUUCUUUUCUUUCUCCUUUAAGCACCUCACAAUGGAAUUUUCCUGAAUUGCCAAAACAGGAGCUUUUCUGUUUUAUAAACCUUUCUAAUUCUCCUCCAUACCAUUCUUGCUGGA